rnacentral:rRNA from 1 species
UACGAAGGGGGCUAGCGUUGCUCGGAUUUACUGGGCGUAAAGGGCUCGUAGGCGGCCAACUAAGUCAGACGUGAAAUCCCUCGGCUUAACCGGGGAACUGCGUCUGAUACUGGAUGGCUAGAGGUUGGGAGAGGGAUGCGGAAUUCCAGGUGUAGCGGUGAAAUGCGUAGAUAUCUGGAGGAACACCGGUGGCGAAGGCGGCAUCCUGGACCAAUUCUGACGCUGAGGAGCGAAAGCCAGGGGAGCAAACGGG